GAUUAGGGUGGGGGGGGGGCAAUGGGGAGUUACUGUUUAGUGGGGACAGAAUUUCAGUUGAAGAAGGUAAGAAAGUUCUGGAGGCCGACGGUGGUGAUGGCUGCACCAUACUGCGAACGCACCUCAGACUGUGCACUCAAGGGUGGUUGGGAUGGUAACGUUAUGCUAUGUGCGUUUUAUCACAGUUAAGAAAAAACCCACAGUGAAAAGUCAUGACACAUCCCGCAGCACGACCACAAUUAAAUGGCGACAUGUCCCAGGCAAACACUUUGUAAAACUCCUUUUGGCUUUGAAGACAGGGGAGGGGCCGCCAGCCGAGGAAGCAGAGGCCCCUGGAAGCUGGAAAAGGUCAGGAGGCACACUAGAGCCUCUGAAGACAGCCCUGCUGUCUCCUUCAACUGGGCUCCUGGCCUCCAGGCUCUGACUCAGACACAACAAGAAGCCAAGAGAGACCCUUUGAGAAUCCAGCCAAGCUGGCACCUGAUCUUGGACUUCCAGUCUCAGUGCUGUGGAAAGAAAGGUACAGAAAACAGGAGCGAGCGAAAGGCGGCCAGCUGGAAGGGAGGGUGUCGAUGUAAGCUGGGUGCAGGCAUGGAGUGAACCAGCCCCUGCGCCUGUCCUGUCUGUGCGGGGCCCUCCCAGCCUGAGUUGGG